rnacentral:lncRNA from 1 species
AUUAUUAAGUGGAAGAUUUGCUAGUGUGCUGCGAGGAAGCGAAAAAUACGGUGUGGGUCUUAAACUUAUAAAAUUGUUUGAAAAUGUUAAAUAUCAUGUUAUAUUUGAUAAAUUAGGUUGCUGAUUGGAUUUAUUUAAUAGCAAAAUUAUUAAUUUUGUGAGUGGUCGAACCAUGUAUGUUUCGAGUGUUAAAAGAUUGACAUGUUGGAAAAAUUGCUAGUUUGAUAGUAUGAAUGUUUGAUUGAGUUUGUAAAUGCAUAUUUGAGUUAUGAGAAUGUUUGACUGAAUGAUAUAA